rnacentral:rRNA from 1 species
GUCUAUGGCCAUGCCACCUUGAACAAGCCCGAUCCCAUCUCAUCUUGGAAGCUAAGCAGGGUUGGCCCUAGUUAGUACCUGGAUGGGAGACCGUCUAGAAAGACCAGGUGCUAUAGGUG